CUAGCAUCCUAUUAUUUAAAUAAAAAGAAAAUACCGACAAUGGCAUCUACGGGAGCUGACGACCAAACUAAGACUCAAAUUCACACAUUUGAUUCCACUUAUGGACCAUCCAAAAUCGUGAAUCAGCAGCUAUACGAUUAUCCCAAGCCGUGUACAGUGAACGUGAAUUGGAAAAUUUGAUUGAUCUUAUUCAAUGAAUGACUAUUUUAUAUUCACUUGAUCACCAUGAUUGGAACGAGGAAGCUGUUAACAUAAUUCGACUUUGGUUACUUAAUCCGAGUGAGGUAAUGCUUUCCGUGUUUUACGAUUCAAAUAUUAUUACGGCAUGUCUGGGAUAUCCCGUUGCACCCAUUCUUGACUUAAGUUACUUUGUGCGUUCAUAUAAUCAAAUCUUCUCCGUUGAAUCUUUUCAUGAUUUUGUAAUUUCUGGAACAAUACAUAAUGAUGUUGACGGAUGCCUGCUUAGAAUCUUAGAGCUAGUUUAUGUACCUGUAUUUAGGAGUCACUUUGAAUGGGAUGAUAAUAUAAAACAGCGCUUUGGCAAAGCGCAAAAAUAUAGAGUCAAUCUCAGUCUAUUGGGCAACACAAAUACGUACCCUGUUGAACGACAAAAGCCUGACAGCCCCCAAUGAUUUCAUAAUUUUAGAGGAUGAAUACGAAUUUUGGCUUUACCGCUUCGAAGUUCUGCAGGCUCUUAACAAUCAGUUGGUAGAAGUCGAUGUGCAGAGUAUUAUAACAAUUUUACGUAAUUCUCAUUCCGUUUACAUAAAACAGAUGGAUGAACUCGUUUAUGAGUCAACGUUUGAAAUGGAACAAGCUAUGUCAAAUAUUAAAUUUCUACAUCUACUAAUGGAUCCGAAUGGAGAAAUUAAU
rnacentral:sRNA from 1 species